UGCGACUCGAUAAAGGUUAUUCCCAGAUAUGUUGAUAGCUUACAAUCAGAAGCCAACUCUUCUUCAAAUCGGCUGGAGUAGAGGGAAAAAGACCGACUCUUAACUUUAGCAUCCCGAAGAGUACCAUUUCUAGGUCUUGGCCCUUCGAAGGCGCUGCUCUGUCGAAAUCGAGGUCAGAUAGACUUCCAUCUUCUACUUAUUAUACAUUAUACAGAAUUGUAUCUAUCUCUAUCUUACCGCAUCAAAGACAGAUUCAACAAGGCAAGAUUCAGCAUUAACUUCAGGAAGCCAAGAAGUCAGUCAGCAUUCAGCUGUAGAAUUGAACUUGAACUCUAAGCCGAAUCGACUUUUGGGGAUAAGAAGCGCUUUGCGAAUAAAAGAAGUUGUUAAAUAAGAUCAGGUAUUCCAGAUCCACAGCUAGAUAGAAUGAAUCCACGGGCCUUAUAUAAUCAAACUGUGCUUUGAAGUUGGCGAAUAAGUGGUAGUUCACAUAGAUAUUCAGAAAAGUCUUUCUAGCCGGAAUGAGACUAAUCUAGUAAAGGGAGCCUUUCUUUAGGGAAAGAACUGUUAGUCAAGGCACGAUGAGGAACUACUGACAAUGGUGGGAAAGAAGAAAGCUGGCAAUGCACAUCUGAAACAGGGCUUGUAAGCAUGAAAUUCAGUUGCUAGCUGGACUGACUUUCUUCGCCUUCCCUCUCUUUCGGUUUCUUUGCUUCAGAAAGUCAUUUAGAAAGAUCCGCUGUUCCAGAUCCGUUCUUUGCAUCGCUUGAAGGCAUAAGUGGAAAAUCCAAUAUCCAAUAGAAUAGUUAGAGUAGAUCCUAUUCUAGAUGGAUUAGAAACCUUACCUUAUUGGCUUAAGCAUCUUCUUUUUUCCAUGAAGAGGAAGAAGACCGGGUUCUCGAAUCCCCUGCUAAGAAAAGGGGCUCUUGUACUUUAUUAAAGGGAAGGAAUUUACAAAGAGAAGAAGGGCAACUAGGCUUCUUUGCGCAAUUCAAUCAAUGGUUACCCCACAUACAGAAUGAAUAAGCUGCUAGGAAGGAGGACGCUGAGACAAAGAACUUCACUUCGACGCUGGGUAAGACUUCCUACAUCUUUGGAAUUGAAUCAAAAUAUAUAGUCUAUAUAUAGAGAGAUAGAAAGGAUCAAAGGCUUGUAAGCAUAUCAGCUAGUCUCUUCUUUUUACUUCAUACUCAAUCAGUCUUUCCCGUUGAAAUGGAUUCUAUCCUCCAACUACUAAGCUUUAUGCUCUGUGAAUAAGAAUCUUAUUCUCAAGCCCUAUCCCUUAGGCUUAAUG
rnacentral:lncRNA from 1 species